CAGUAGCUCAGUGGUACAGCAUCUGCUUUGCAUGCAGACGGUCCCUGGUUCAAUCCCUGACAUCUCGG
rnacentral:tRNA from 1 species